GAUGAACGCUGGCGGCGUGCCUAAUACAUGCAAGUCGAGCGAACGGACGAGAAGCUUGCUUCUUUGAUGUUAGCGGCGGACGGGUGAGUAACACGUGGAUAACCUACCUAUAAGACUGGGAAAAUUUCGGGAAACGGGAGCUAAUACCGGAUAAUAUUUUGAACCGCAUGGUUCAAAAGUGAAAGACGGUCUUUGUGUAACGUAUAGAUGGAUACGCGCUGCAUUAGCUAGUUGGGAAGGUAACGGGUUAUCAAGGCAACGAUGCAUAGCCGACCGGAGGGGGUGAUCGGCCACACUGGAAGUGAGACACGGACCAGACUCCUACGGGAGGCAGCAGUAGGGAACGGUCGGCAAUGGGCGAAAGCCUUACGGAGCAACGCCGAGUGAGUGAUGAAGGUCUUCGGAUCGUAAAACUCUGUUAUUGGGGAAGAACAUAUGUGUAAGUAACUGUGCACAGCUUGACGGUACCUAAUCAGAAAGCCACGGCUAACUACGUG
rnacentral:rRNA from 1 species